AUUGAACGCUGGCGGCAUGCCUUACACAUGCAAGUCGAACGGCAGCACGGGAGCAAUCCUGGUGGCGAGUGGCGAACGGGUGAGUAAUAUAUCGGAACGUGCCCGGUCGUGGGGGAUAACGUAGCGAAAGCUACGCUAAUACCGCAUACGAUCUACGGAUGAAANCGGGGGAUCGCAAGACCUCGCGCGAUUGGAGCGGCCGAUAUCAGAUUAGGUAGUUGGUGAGGUAAAGGCUCACCAAGCCGACGAUCUGUAGCUGGUCUGNGAGGACGACCAGCCACACUGGGACUGAGACACGGCCCAGACUCCUACGGGAGGCAGCAGUGGGGAAUUUUGGACAAUGGGCGCAAGCCUGAUCCAGCAAUGCCGCGUGCAGGAUG
rnacentral:rRNA from 1 species